rnacentral:rRNA from 1 species
UUGACCUCGGAUCAGGUAGGACUACCCGCUGAACUUAAGCAUAUCAAUAAGCGGAGGAAAAGAAACCAACAGGGAUUGCCUCAGUAACGGCGAGUGAAGCGGCAACAGCUCAGAUUUGGAAUCUGGCCCCCAGGGCCCGAGUUGUAAUCUGGAGAGGAUGCUUCUGGCGCGGCGCCUUCCGAGUUCCCUGGAACGGGACGCCGGAGAGGGUGAGAGCCCCGUACGGUCGGACGCCCAGCCUCUGUGAAGCUCCUUCGACGAGUCGAGUAGUUUGGGAAUGCUGCUCAAAAUGGGAGGUAAAUUUCUUCUAAAGCUAAAUACCGGCCAGAGACCGAUAGCGCACAAGUAGAGUGAUCGAAAGAUGAAAAGCACUUUGAAAAGAGGGUUAAACAGUACGUGAAAUUGUUGAAAGGGAAGCGCCCGUGGCCAGACUUGCGCCCCGCGGACCACCCGGCGUUCUCGCCGGUGCACUCCGCGAGGCGCAGGCCAGCAUCGGUUCUCCCAGGGGGACAAAGGCUGCGGGAACGUAGCUCCUACGGGAGUGUUAUAGCCCGCGGCGCCAUGCCCCUGGGGGGACCGAGGACCGCGCU